GCUGCCGGGCUCAUGGAACAGGCCCAGCCCCUGAGUAGCAGCCUCGAGCAGCUGAGCCCAGAGAAAGAUGUUGAAAGUCAGCCCGUAGCAGGCAGGGCAAGGGGAGCUGUGCGUCUCCCAUGUGUCAGAGCGUGGAGGGAGCGCCGGGGGUGGGGGGCAGGGGCAGAGGCCCAGAUGCUGGGUCCACCAUGGAGGCUGCCAGGUGCUGAGGGGGGUCAUUAAAUACACCCCCCACACCCCUCACUUGUGUGAAGGUCAGAGGACAAAGGACGGACAAAGGCAUCUGGUCACCCCCCAUCUUGAGCCGAACAGAUGAAACCGUUGACAGUGAAGCCUCGCCUGGGAGGACUUCAGCUCACAGCACGUGGGCCGGCCUGAAAGGGAGGACCCAGGGAAGGGGUGCUGGGAGGGCUGGGGACCCGGCAGCUCCUGGCCGGCAUCCUCUAUGAACUGCAGCAAUUCAUUAUCCUUCCUCCAGCUGAUGAGGAUGAUCAGGAGGACAAUUAGUCUUGGAAUUACCGCGGAGGAGACCGUUAAGAGAAAAAUAAAUUAAAAAGAAAUCCAUUCGAGGUGUAAUUGUAAUACAGUGUAUCAUAGUCAAUUGAAUCACAAAUACAAGCUGGUCCCUUGUCGAUUGAUUUCAGCAAGUAAACAAUUUGGGUAUCUAAAUUGGAAACUCGCCGGGAAAAGGAGCAAUGAUUUGGUUAAAGGGAGAACUGAAAACGUCAGGCCAAAAAUUGGUUCUAGGUGUCUGGCUGCUACAGGACUGUGCAGGUGACCCUAGAUGGGAGGGAGGUCACCAGCUCCUCCCUGCCUGCAGGUCAAGGUCACCCCAUCUGGAAGCUACCUAGACCCCAGCAAUGUUACCUGACCUGUGACACCUUUGUUCCUGUGUCCUCCUCUGUGCCGCCCAUGGUGAAUGUGGCUUCUCUGUCUACAUGGAUGCACUCCCACCACACUGGGAGCUUCUGGGGCACAGGAGUCCUGCUUUACUUCCUAUGUUGAGCCCAGGUAGGUGGGGUGGGGGUGCUUAGAAGGCAGCUG
rnacentral:lncRNA from 1 species